rnacentral:rRNA from 1 species
GCGUGAGGAACCUGCCUCAAAGAGGGGGACAACAGUUGGAAACGACUGCUAGUACCGCAUAAGCCCACGGCUCGGCAUCGAGCAGAGGGAAAAGGAGCAAUCCGCUUUGAGAUGGCCUCGCGUCCGAUUAGCUAGUUGGUGAGGUAAUGGCCCACCAAGGCGACGAUCGGUAGCCGGACUGAGAGGUUGAACGGCCACAUUGGGACUGAGACACGGCCCAGACUCCUACGGGAGGCAGCAGUGGGGAAUAUUGCACAAUGGGGGAAACCCUGAUGCAGCGACGCCGCGUGGAGGAAGAAGGUCUUCGGAUUGUAAACUCCUGUUGUUGAGGAAGAUAAUGACGGUACUCAACAAGGAAGUGACGGCUAACUACGUGCCAGCAGCCGCGGUAAAACGUAGGUCACAAGCGUUGUCCGGAAUUACUGGGUGUAAAGGGAGCGCAGGCGGGAGAACAAGUUGGAAGUGAAAUCCAUGGGCUCAACCCAUGAACUGCUUUCAAAACUGUUUUUCUUGAGUAGUGCAGAGGUAGGCGGAAUUCCCGGUGUAGCGGUGGAAUGCGUAGAUAUCGGGAGGAACACCAGUGGCGAAGGCGGCCUACUGGGCACCAACUGACGCUGAGGCUCGAAAGUGUGGGUAGCAAACAGGAUUAGAUACCCUGGUAGUCCACACCGUAGACGAUGAUUACUAGGUGUUGGGGGAUUGACCCCUUCAGUGCCGCAG